GUCACUUAGCUAGCAGGUACUGUAGUCACUUAGCUAGCAGGUACUGUAGUCACUUAGCUAGCGUCACUUAGCUAGCAGGUACUGUAGUCACUUAGCUAGCAGGUACUAUAGUCACUUAGCUAGCAGGUACUGUAACCACUUAGCUAGCAGGUACUGUAGCCACUUAGCUAGCAGGUACUGUAGCCACUUAGCUAGCAGGUACUGUAGUCACUUAGCUAGCGUCACUUAGCUAGCAGGUACUGUAGUCACUUAGCUAGCUCUGUGCCCUGCUGGCCAGUUGGUUAUGUCCUCUUAGAAGAGUCAUAGAAUAAAAUAAUGGCCCAUUUUAUAUCCUGGGCGUGUGCCAGCUUAGCUUAACCAUCAGCAAUGCAUCAAUCUGCCAUUUUUUACUGUAUCCAUAUUGGUUUUAUUGGAGUAAUUCAGCCAUGUACUAUAAAAGAUAGGUACACAUGCUGCUAUUGUUAGGAUGGUGCCAGAGGGACAGAGAGGGAGAGAGACAGAGACGGGGAGGGAGAGAGUGGGAGAGAGACAGAGGGACAGAGCGGGAGAGAGAGAGAGAGACAGAGGGACAGAGGGGCAGAGGGAGAGAGAGAGAGAGACAGAGGGACAGAGGGAGAGAGAGAGAGACAGAGGGAGAGAGGGACAGACGGAGAGGGAGAGACAGAGAGAGAGAGAGAGAGAGAGAGACAGAGGGACAGAGGGACAGAGGGGGAGAGAGAGAGGGACAGAGGGAGCGAGAGAGAGAGACAGAGGGAGAGAGGGACAGACGGAGAGGGAGAGACAGAGGGAGAGAGAGAGAGACAGAGGGACAGAGCGGGGAGAGAGAGAGAGACCGAGGGAGAGAGGGAGAGGGAGGGGGAGGGAGAUAGAGGCAGAGAGGGAGCGAGAGAGAGACCGAGGGAGAGAGACAGAGAGAGGGGGGAGAGAGCGGGAGAGAGAGAGGGACAGAGGGAGAGGGAGAGAGAGACCGAGGGAGAGAGACAGAGAGGGGGAGGGAGAGAGAGGACCAACAGAACUCUCUGGCUGGCUCUAAACCCAGAUCUGGUUGGCCUGGACAGCUGUAAAAUGUAGCACACUACUUCUAUUAAUCUGACCUGCCAAUCACACCCAACCAACAGGGUCUCAGAGAAGUAACCAACCCACUCUACACACAGAGAGAGAGAGACAUUGUUAAAACACUGAAUAUAUAUAUAAUAUGACAUUUGUAAUGUCUUUAUUGUUUUGAAACUUCUGUAUGUGUGAUGUUUACUAUUAAUUUUUAUUGUUUAUUUCACUUCAUAUAUUAUCUACCUCACUUGCUUUGGCAAUGUUAACACAUGUUUCCCAUGCCAAUAAAGCCCUUCAAUUGAAUUGAAUUGAAUUGAGAGAGAGAGAGAGAGAGAGAGAGAGAGAGAGAGAGAGAGAGAGAGAAGUGGGCGAGAGAUGAGAGAGAGAACAAGUGGGCACAAGCGAGAGAGAGACAGACAGACAGAGAGGGAGAGAGAACAAAAUAAAAACCUAGCGGUCAAACAGGGAAAUGGUUCCAAUAGUUUUUCCAGAAGAAAAACAAACGCACACCUAUUUAGGUGAGGUGCUGGCUAGCGGAGUAGAAAACUUGAAAAUAAAAUAAAAGAGAGCCGCACACUCUAGGAGCUCAGAUGCACUCUACACUCUAGGAGCUCAGAUGCACUCUACACUCUAGGAGCUCAGAUGCACUCUACACUCUAGGAGCUCAGAUGCACUCAGAUGAAAAAUGUAAUUACCAACGUUGACAGCCAGGCUGUCUUCAUCAGGGUAUAUCCAAUAAGGGCUGUGUUUGGUGUAGGCUUACCCCGGAGUGACGUUUUGAGAACCAUGGAAAUCUCUCACAGACAAGGAGACUUUGGAGGAAUUUUGAAUGUCAGCCUGCUUGCCCUCUGCAAGGACACAACAACACAAUAAUAUACACAUUUAUAAGUACAUUUAUCUUAAAGUUUUGCAUGCACAUGCAGUAUGUAGAAAUACAGUAGAUAAUCAUGGAGUUUGUAGAAAUACAGUAGAUAAUCAUGGAGUUUGUAGAAAUACAGUAGAUAAUCAUGGAGUAUGUUUAAAUACAGUAGAUAAUCAUGGAGUUUGUUUAAAUACAUGUAGAUAAUCAUGGAGUUUGUAGAAAUACAGUAGAUAAUCAUGGAGUUUGUUUAAAUACAGUAGAUAAUCAU
ensembl:lncRNA